GACGAACGCUGGCGGCGUGCUUAACACAUGCAAGUCGAACGGUGAACUCCGCUUGCGGGGGGAUCAGUGGCGAACGGGUGAGUAACACGUGGGCAACCUGCCCUCAGCUCUGGGAUAACUCCAAGAAAUUGGGGCUAAUACCGGCUAUGACCGCUCACCGCAUGGUCUGGUGGUGGAAAGAUUUAUCGGCUGGGGAUGGGCCCGCGGCCUAUCAGCUUGUUGGUGGGGUAGUGGCCUACCACGACGACGACGGGUAGCCCGCCUGAGAGGAUGACCGGCCACACUGGGACUGAGACACGGCCCAGACUCCUACGGGAGGCAGCAGUGGGGAAUAUUGCGCAAUGGGCGAAAGCCUGACGCAGCGACGCCGCGUGGGGGAUGACGGCCUUCGGGUUGUAAACCUCUUUCAGCAGAUACGAAGCGAAAGUGACGGUACCUGCAGAAGAAGCACCGGCCAACUACGUG
rnacentral:rRNA from 1 species